rnacentral:rRNA from 1 species
UACAGAGGGCUCAAGCGUUGUUCGGAUUCAUUGGGCGUAAAGGGUGCGUAGGCGGCGCUGUAAGUCGGGCGUGAAAUCUCGGAGCUUAACUCCGAAACUGCAUUCGAUACUGCCGUGCUUGAGGACUGGAGAGGAGACUGGAAUUUACGGUGUAGCGGUGAAAUGCGUAGAUAUCGUAAGGAAGACCAGUGGCGAAGGCGGGUCUCUGGACAGUUCCUGACGCUGAGGCACGAAGGUCAGGGGAGCAAACGGG